AUUGAACGCUGGCGGAAUGCUUUACACAUGCAAGUCGAACGAUGAAGCCUAGCUUGCUAGGUCGAUUAGUGGCGAACGGGUGAGUAAUAUAUCGGAACGUAUCCAAUAAUGGGGGAUAACUAGUCGAAAGAUUGGCUAAUACCGCAUACGUCCUACGGGAGAAAGCUGGGGAUCGUAAGACCUGGCGUUAAUGGAGCGGCCGAUAUCUGAUUAGCUAGUUGGUGAGGUAAAGGCUCACCAAGGCGACGAUCAGUAGCUGGUCUGAGAGGACGACCAGCCACACUGGAACUGAGACACGGUCCAGACUCCUACGGGAGGCAGCAGUGGGGAAUUUUGGACAAUGGGCGAAAGCCUGAUCCAGCCAUUCCGCGUGAGUGAAGAAGGCCUUCGGGUUGUAAAGCUCUUUCGCAAGGGAAGAACACUUACUUAAUAACACUAAGUGAGGUUGACGGUACCUUGAUAAGAAGCACCGGCUAACUACGUGCCAGCCGCCGCCGUAGUAA
rnacentral:rRNA from 1 species